GUAUUCACUCAGCAAGAUUUCAACCCUCACUGCUUCUAGAUUUCUGCUUGUGCUGCUAAACAUCUGAGGGAGCGAAUGACUUGGCUGAUUGAUGCCAUUUACAUUUCUACCCACAGAUCUCAACUGGGUCUUUAGCUAACAUUUUUCUGAUGGUCUCCUGCUCUCUCAGAGGACAAUUUUGUAUCUUCUUUCUCCUUCUCUGACUCAUUUUUAUAGAGAAAUAGUCAUUUUAUUCCAUCUUCUUUGUCCCUUCCUCCACUUCUUCCUCACCAUCCCUUUCCCAGAUCUGCUCCUGAACCUGUCUCCCCUCCUGUUAUAAUGAAUGGAUUUUGCUUUGUCCCCAAGUACAGCCAACAUUAAUACAUUGCUCCAGUCCAUUGUGCUUAUUCACAGAAAGCUUUAGACUCUCAUUCUUUAUUCCUUUUUCACUCCCAUCAACAUAGAAUCAUACAAAACUACCUCUCAUAUUUAAAAAUAAAUCCCAUCUUAAACCCUGAAACUUCUUUCAACUGUUACCCCUUUUCUUUGUUUUGAUUUGUAAUAAAAAUUUUUGAAAAUGUUUUCUAUACCUGCUAUGUAUGCUCAUCUCUCCCCUUUUAUUUUUCAGCGCCCUCCAGCUGAAACUACUUUUGACAAGGCUAAUAAAUUAGUUUUUUAAAGGGAAGUCUUUCCAAUGGUCUUCAGGAACAAUCUUUUUUCCCCCCUCAUUAUUGAAAAGAGAGAGUCAAGGGGAAUAUUGCAGAGAUGUGAUCCAUGGGUCAUGUGGAUUCCUGCUUGAGACCAGGUUAUCAGCAAAGAAGAGAGCGUCCAAGGUAGGGAGAUGGUCAUUUUCCAAGCUGCUUUUAGCUUCAAUUAUGAUUUUGUGGAACAUAUUUUUUUUAACACAUAUAUAAGAGAAUAUAAGACUUUAAAAGGAAAUGUAAGUCACAUUCUUUAGAAUUGUCUUUCUGCUCAUACCUGGUAUUUUUUAAUGAUCCAGUGCCUGACAUAUACUUGGCACUCAGAAAAGUUUGUUAAAUGAAUGC
rnacentral:lncRNA from 1 species